rnacentral:misc_RNA from 1 species
GAGUGGUUGGAUGUGGGGGGUUUGCUGGCCUCUUGAAAGGUUUUAGCUCUCCUGAAAUGCAUUAGCGGAACAACCCUGUUCAUUGGCGUGAUAACUAUCGACGCUAUUGAAUGUGAAGGGCAGUUUGGCUUUCUAACAGUCCUUGGACAGCUCAUCAUUAAUGUGACCUCAAAUCAGGUAGGACUACCCGCUGAACUUAA